rnacentral:lncRNA from 1 species
GAGACAGGGUCUCACUCUGUCACUCAGGCUGGAGAGCACUGACACCAUCAUGGCUCACUGCAGCCUGUAACUCUUGGGCUCAUGGGAUCCUCCAACCUUAGCCUCCCGAGUAGCUGAGACUACAGGUGGGGGGAUGGCUUGAGCCCAUGAUUUUGAGAGCAGCCCUGGCAAAAGAGUGAGAUCUUGUCUCUACAAAAAAAUUUAAAAAGCCAAGUGUGGCCAAGCGUGGCCAAGCGUGCUGGUGUGCGCCUGUGGUCCCAGUUACUUGGGAGGCUGAGGUAGGAGGUCACCUGAGCCUCCUGGGAGGUCAAGGCUGCCCCCUAGCCUGGGCAACAAGACCCUGUCUGCAAAAAAAGAGAAAACCAAGCAGCUAACCCAGCCUGUGUCGUGACAAUGCCGGCUGAGCACACGUGUGGAGGAAGGAGAGGAAGGGAUGAUGGCCCAGCCUGUGUCGUGACGAUGCCAGCUGAGCACAAGUGUGGAGGAAGGGGAGGAAGGGAUGAUGGCAUGCCUAUCCUUACACACAGGUAACAAUCCUCACAGGUUGCUGUCACCAGGACUCUCACCACACCUGGCCUGCCAGCAAUUUUAGAAUUCAACGUUUCUCACAUCUGGGCAGGGUGCUGUGGGGCUCACGUCUUUAAUCCCAGCACUUUGGGAGGCGAGGUAGGAGGAUCACUUGAGCUCAGGAGUUCAAGACCAGCCUGGGCACCAUAGUGAAACCUCAUUUCUACAAAAAAUAAAAAAAUUGGCUGGGCGUGGUGGCGCACGCCUAUAAUCUCAGCACUUUGGGAGGUCGAGGUGAGUGAAUCACGACGUCAGGAGUUCAAGACCAGCCUGGCCAAAUUGGUGAAACCCCGUCUCUACUAAAAUACAAAAAUUAGCCAGGUGUGGUGGCAGGCGCCUGUAAUCCCAGCUACUUGCGAGGCUGAGGCAGUGAAC